GUCCUGCAAGCCUCCUGCUUAGCUGUCUGUUCAGAAAAUAGCGUUUUCGAAAUAACCUGUGUUGACCUAAUGUCUUAUUUGGCUCCUGUCUGCAGGGUUUACGCGCACGUUGGAAUCGAAGAGAGCUCUGUUGUUGCAAUGUUCAGCCCACAAGAGCUUACAGGUGAAGGAAUGGGACAAGACCCAUCUUUAUGCAAAGCCAGCGUUACAGUAAUGUUCCAGCAUCUCAUAAUCUAUCCUGAGGAAUUCAGCUGCCUCCCAGGGUGAAUACAGGUAUUUCUGAUGACAGUCUGCCUCUAUCUUACAGAGCAGCUUGUUGCUAUAUACCAUUGAAAAGCCUUCAGAGCUAAGAGGUACUACUAACCAAUAACCUGCUUGGCUCAAAGGGCCAGCACCUUCUCUCUAAAGCCCAAGAAGAGUUUGAGGAAAACUAGGUGUCUCUGUUCACUCCAGGCUGAAGUUACAGGUCUGAGGAAAGGUGUGUAAAAAAUGGAAUCUGUCUUGGAGGACAUCAGAAGUUGAAUUUUCCAAGUCCUUGGACAACCUAGCUGUUGAAAAGCUUUCUGGAUUUGGGGGGUCUUUCAGAUGUACCUUAAAGUGUUAGCAGACACAGAUUAAGACACUGGGAGCCAAUGAAACAUAGCAGUUGAGGGUUUGCUAUGUAUCACAUUUCUGUAUUUUAUCACCCCCUUCCUGCAACAUUAUUUCUGUGGAAUCUACCUGCCCUUUUGUUUUUUAGAUACAAGGGCUUGGUUUUGUUACCAAGGCUGGUUUCAAGGCCCUAGCUUUAAGAGAUCCUCCCACCACAGAUUUCCAAAGUGCUGGGAUUGCAGGUAUGAUUAGUGGCACCCAGACUUUGCUGCCUUUCUUACAUGAUCAAGGCCCGGAACCCAAACUCAGGCACUGCAUAGAUGACCAGUUUGGUAAACUACUGACCUAGCUUGUUGCCAAUUGUGAUUGAGCUUCCCAUAACUCCACUUCGUUUCUGUUUCUCUGUAUACAGACACCUUCUAUUCCCAUCAUGAGCCUUUAGGUCUCCAUUUGCAUAUUGCAAAUACUAUGUUCCGUGUAGGUAGCUCAUUCAGUGCCUUGCUCUUCACUUCAAAAAGGUUCCCUUGAGGACUGGCUGUCAAUUCGUGUUGCUGUAUUGGUUAAUGAAAAUAAUAAAAUGAUUGAUUUACAUA